GUAGGUGGCAAGCGUUGUCCGGAAUUAUUGGGCGUAAAGCGCGCGUAGGUGGUUCUUUAAGUCUGAUGUGAAAGACCCCCGGGCUCAACCCGGGGAGGGUCAUUGGAAACUGGGGAACUUGAGUGCAGGAGAGGAAAGUGGAAUUCCACGUGUAGCGGUGAAAUGCGUAGAUAUGUGGAGGAACACCAGUGGCGAAGGCGACUUUCUGGCCUGUAACUGACACUGAGGCGCGAAAGCGUGGGGAGCAAACAGGAUUAGAUACCCUGGUAGUCCACGCCGUAAACGAUGAGUGCUAAGUGUUGGGGGGUUUCCGCCCCUCAGUGCUGCAGCUAACGCAUUAAGCACUCCGCCUGGGGAGUACGGUCGCAAAGACUG
rnacentral:rRNA from 1 species